rnacentral:tRNA from 1 species
UAGAAUAUGGUGUAUGGUAGCACAAAGAGUUUUGAGCUCUUUGGAUUAGGUUCAAUCCCUAUUAUUCUAG